rnacentral:rRNA from 1 species
CCCUUAGAUGUUCUGGGCCGCACGCGCGCUACACUGAUGCAUUCAACGAGUUUCUUCCUGGUCCGAGAGGAAUGGGUAACCUUUUGAAACUGCAUCGUGAUGGGGCUAGAUUAUUGCAAUUAUUAAUCUUCAACGAGGAAUGCCUAGUAAGCGUGAUUCAUCAAAUCGCGUUGAUUACGUCCCUGCCCUUUGUACACACCGCCCGUCGCUCCUACCGAUUGAAUGUGUUGGUGAGGAGCUCGGAUUGGCAGCAGUUGGUGGUUCGCCACCGGCUAUUGCUGAGAAGUCCUCCAAACCGCCCCAUUUAGAGGAAGGAGAAGUCGUAACA